rnacentral:rRNA from 1 species
GACGAACGCUGGCGGCGUGCUUAACACAUGCAAGUCGAACGAAGUGGCGAACGGGUGAGUAACGCGUAAUCAACCUGCCCUUCAGAGGGGGACAACAGUUGGAAACGACUGCUAAUACCGCAUACGGAAGGAGGGGAUUGCGUCGGAUUGGCUAGUUGGCGGGGUAACGGCCCACCAGGGCGAUGAUCAGUAGCCGGUCUGAGAGGAUGAACGGCGAGAUUGGGACGGAGAGACGGCCCAGACGCCUACGGGAGGCAGGAGUGGGGAAUCUGGCGGAAUGGACGAAAGUCUGACGGGGCAACGCCGCGUGAGUGAUGACGGCCUUCGGGUUGUAAAGCUCUGUUAAUCGGGACGCGGUACCGGAAUAGAAAGCCACGGCUAACUACGUGCCAGCAGCCGCGGUAAUUC